GGCCUCCAGGUACUUACCAAAGGCUGUGUUCUUUACACCAACUAUAACUAGAAAGAGAAGGCAUGGUAAACAGACCCUAUAUAUCAGCCCAGGCCCUUUUCUUUGUAUUGUAAAGGGGUGAGGGGAACAUAA